AUACGUAGGGAGCGAGCGUUGUCCGGAAUUACUGAGUGUAAAGGGAGCGUAGGCGGGAGUGCAAGUCAGAUGUGAAAUGCAUGGGCUUAACCCAUGAGCUGCAUUUGAAACUGCAUUUCUUGAGUGAAGUAGAGGUAAGCGGAAUUCCUGGUGUAGCGGUGAAAUGCGUAGAUAUCAGGAGGAACACCGGUGGCGAAGGCGGCUUACUGGGCUUUUACUGACGCUGAGGCUCGAAAGCGUGGGGAGCAAACAGGAUUAGAUACCCUGGUAGUCCACGCUGUAAACGAUGAUUACUAGGUGUGGGGGGACUGACCCCUUCCGUGCCGCAGUUAACACAAUAAGUAAUCCACCUGGGGAGUACGGCCGCAAGGUUGAAACUUAAAGGAAUUGACGGGG
rnacentral:rRNA from 1 species